rnacentral:pre_miRNA from 1 species
UUUUUACUCCCUCUGUUCUGAAUUACUUGUCGCACGUAUGGAUGUAUCUAGAUGUAUUUAGUUCUAGAUACAUUCAUUUAAGCGACGAGUAAUUUGGAUGGAGGGAGUACUCU